UGUGCAGGGCAAAACGCCUUGUUCGGGAGGUGGAACAGCAUCUCACCCUUCCAGCCUGGCUGUCCCUCUUGGCCACUCACAUGGCAGCCUUGCGUUUUGAAACCUGCUCGGUGUUGUGGUUUUCUGUUUUUCUGCCUAAAUAUAAUUCGGCUAUAAAAAAGAGAACCCUUAGAAGCUCCGAAGUGGCCAGAAGGAUUCAUUCCUCUGACAAGUAACUUUAAAAACAUGUCUUCAAUUGAGUCCAUGUGUCUGCUUUCAGACAAUUUCUACUGGAAGUGCAUUCACAAGUAGAGGCAUUGCUGUAAAUAAUCAGAUUUCAAACACUACAACUCCUAGUCAUUUCGAAUAUAGUCUUGGAGUAGGAAUAACAAACAUAAAACUGGCUGCCCUAAUACAGAAAAAGGAACUGUAAAGCCAUCAGCAAAAUCCAAACCAGGAAAUGCUGCCAACUUAAGGCAAAGUAAACUGAGAGCAAUAAAUCAAACUGAAACACAUAUUUUAUUGUGGACUGAACAAUACAGGGCUUGACGUUUCUACAGGCAAGGCACAAAUAUCCUUUUACUAUCAAAAACAAAAGCUUUUAAAGCUUCAAAAGGAGCUGCAGGCAAAGGAGCAAAUAAUAAAUGACAGGCAGAGCUGGUACGACGGGACUUUGCGGGCUGUGUUAUGUAGGUCUUAGAAGAUUUGCAGAUGUCAACUCGCCCUGCAAGCAUCGCUGCUGACCGUGUCAUCCCCAGCUGCUACCACUUGCAGCAGUUUGGGGCAGGUGAAUUAAAACAGCUUAAAAAGUCAUCUCCCUUCAGCUGAGCUGCUGUGAGUGCCUGUGUGUGUGUGUGCCUGCAGCCUGUCUCCAUUGCGAGGAAAAAUGUCUUUCUUUUGCUGAAGAUGCUAAAUCAACCUUCCAGUAAAGAUUUAAGCCAACAGAUUUUGAGCUUGCAGCAGGGGCUGCUGGCAGGGAGAGUUCAGCUGAGGGGAGAUGACUCCUCGAGCUCUCCUGGCUUGGCCGCAGGUGAUGGUGAGCUUGUGCCCAGGUUGUUGCUGUGAGCCCUCCUUCUGCAGUCUCUGUACCAGUGAGAGGGCGGCUGAACCCGAUGCACACACAUGAAAUAGAUGUUUUCUGUCCUUCUAGCAAGACAGCGAGUUUCUAUCAAGCCAAUUAAUGAAUGGGAGGCAGUGUUCAGCAUGUGUACCAGGGGCUGCCGUCUGAUCGGAGAGCUGGGGGCAUUGCCUGGAUCUUAGUACAAGCCAUCAGGUGGCAAAUUCACCAAGGAGUCUGCCAGCUGUUUGACUUCAUUACAGUUUAUCAUUAUGUCUGCCUCCUUUUUUAUUUCUGCGUUUAAUCACCUAAUAUCAUUUUUAUCGGCUUGUCAGGGCGUGGGAGAGAGCGGUGAGGAAUUUGUUUCACUUCUUUAUAGUACAUGUCUAUUUUGGUAAAAUAUUAUGGCAACUUUAUGUCUGUCCUACUUUGAAAAACAAGAUUCAAGUGAACUAAUUAAGCCUGUGAGUACCAAAACAUCUAAUUAGUAUUAACUCUCACCUGUAAAACCAUAAUAGGUGUCUUCCCUGCAAGAUACAUUUCUGUAUUGUUUAAAAUCCAUAAUGAACCGAUAACGAGUAGCCAGGCAGCUGCUUAACGACACUUUCACAGCUCAAAUCCUUCACUUGUUUUUGAUUGAAGCGUGUUGCUGCCGGUAUGACAAGACCUGUCAGAUGCUAUCAGAGGGUCGAUCACCAGAUCCAAAGGCAUCUUCAUCCGCUGCUUGAUCGCACAUCAAGCCCAAGCGCUCCUGGUGCCUUACAGCUUGGUGACCAAAAAGGGGGACUUCUUCCCCGUGUACCAUACGUGUGUUCUGAUGAGGGAAUGCACUGAAAUUCGGGUGGAGAACUACCAUCCUUCGUUAACUCUUACAAGGUUUUAAGCGAGCAAUUAAUAGCAAGGUUGGAAAUUGAAAUCCUAGCUGGGCAGCACUUGCCAUAUAUCCCAUACAGACCUUGUUUCAAAUGCUGUAGUCACAGUGGAAGUACAUUCUUGCACGUACAUCAGUCUAGAAAUAGCCAUUGUUAAAAAAAUAUAUAUAUAUCCUCUAGGCUUCCAAGGUAUCCUUCCAUCAAGAUACACCAUAACACUCUGGAUUUAUGCUGACGCCACGCAUGCAGUGACUUUUAUCUUUUGAUUCAGAAAAUGGCCAGAUGGGCACACAUCAAGGUGAGACCAUCACGCCUCCGUGUUCCAGAGCCUAUUUCACAGCAGUGACCCAAGUUUCAAUGGAAACUAAGUUUGCGACUAGAUCAUAUAAAUUACAUUUUCCCCAUCUCCUCUGCCAGCUCUUCCAUCCAGCGGCUGCAUUUGGAAAAUUACCUCUGUCCAAGAAGGUCAGCGUGAGUCCUCCCGGUGGUGAGGUCCCCUUCUAUGGCAUCUCCAACCCGUGUCCCCGAGGGCUGGGGCUGUGCUGCCGGUGCUGCAGACCACCGCGGCUCCCUUGCAGGCGUUAGUGCCUCCAAACUGCUCUCUGCUCCUGACCUUCUCAGAUCUCUCAGCUGGCAGUUGUCCACAAUGCCAUCAAGCUGGAUGCUGUAACCUUUUAAAAAAUGUUGUUAACGUAGGUUAAAAUCGCAGAUGCGUUUUAGGUUUGAUUUCUCUGUUAGAAAUUCCAAAUUACGCCGCAUAUUGGAAAGGCCUGGUUUGGCUCCGAGCCAUUCUGAUAGAUGUCAUAUUGCUAAACAAGAUGGGCUUAGAAAUAUGCCUCGAUGUUUCCUUUUUUAUUUCAAACAAAUACAAGCAGUAGAUUAACAUUUGGCUGACCCUGGCGGCAAUCGCUAAAUGUAAUGUUUAGAGCAAUCUAACACUCCGAUACUCUGCGGCCCUCCACAAUGGAACAUUGUUUUCAAACAGCUCUCCAAGUUGUACGGAGCGGGGGCACUUCUACAACAGGAGCCUGACCUGCUGACCGCUCGAUAAAGGGUCCCAAAGGGUUGAUAAAGCGCGGCCAGCUGGCAUCUGGGGGGCUCCUCGACCCCACUGGGUGGGGAGCGGCGAGGUGUUCCUGGAGCUGCCCGUUUUCUUGCAAGUCGCCAAUUAGAAAUAGCACUUUUGUAUCAUUUGUAAAGUUUGGGUGAUAUACAGCCCAGAAAAGCUUUCGCUGAACGGGGAAGCCAUUGCCAAAAAACGUGUAAGCAAGCAAUAGAGGCAAAUCAUGGGAGAGAAAAUUAAAUUUUCAUGUAUUGUAAAUGAAAUAUACAUUAGGGACUCUCUCCAGCGACCUCCAGAUUCUGUAAUUUUUGGAUUGGAGCUAAAGACCUAAAUCAUGUAGCCACGAUGGCCUGUAACACAUAUACGGAGGGUAUUGCCUUGCUACAGGCCUGCAACAGUAAACAAAUGGAACUAGUUUUGGAGAACUGC